AUACGUAGGGGGCGAGCGUUGUCCGGAAUGACUGGGCGUAAAGGGCGUGUAGGCGGCGGUGUAAGUCUGGAGUGAAAGUCCCGCAUUCAAUGUGGGAAUUGCUUUGGAUACUGCAGUGCUAGAGUGCGGAAGAGGUAAGUGGAAUUCACAGUGUAGCGGUGAAAUGCGUAGAGAUUGGGAGGAACACCAGUGGCGAAGGCGACUUACUGGUGCGUAACUGACGCUGAGGCGCGAAAGCGUGGGGAGCGAACAGGAUUAGAUACCCUGGUAGUCCACGCGGUAAACGAUGAAUGCUAGGUGUUGCGGGUAUCGACCCCCGCAGUGCCGGAGUAAACACAAUAAGCAUUCCGCCUGGGGAGUACGGCCGCAAGGUUGAAACUCAAAUGAAUUGACGGGG
rnacentral:rRNA from 1 species